UACGGGGGGGGCAAGCGUUGUUCGGAAUUACUGGGCGUAAAGGGCUCGUAGGUGGCCAACUAAGUCGGACGUGAAAUCCCUCAGCUUAACUGGGGAACUGCGUCCGAUACUGGAUGGCUUGAGUUCGGGAGAGGAGAGUGGAAUUCCCAGUGUAGAGGUGAAAUUCGUAGAUAUUGGGAAGAACACCGGUGGCGAAGGCGGCUCUCUGGACCGAGACUGACGCUGAGGCGCGAAAGCGUGGGGAGCAAACAGG
rnacentral:rRNA from 1 species